AAGGCAGCAGGCGCGCAACUUACCCUAAUCUCGAUUCGAGGAGGUAGUGACAAGAAAUACCGAUGCGGGGACCCUACGGGUGCCGCGUUCGGAAUGAGUACGAUUCGAACCACCUAACGAGGAACGAUCGGAGGGCAAGUCUGGUGCCAGCAGCCGCGGUAAUUCCAGCUCCAAUAGCGUACGUUAAAGUUGCUGCAGUUAAAAAGCUCGUAGUUGAACGUUCGGGUUCCGCGGGACGGGGCCGCCCCGCGAGGGACGGCGCCGCCCCGGGGGCUCGUGAUAUCUUAUCUCGCCGCCCGUCGCGAGGCGGACGGAGGGAUGGAUGAGGUUACCUGGAAAAAAUCGGGGCGAUCUAGGCGGGCGAACCUCGCCAACGAACGAUCGGACAUGGGAUAACGGAAGAGGGCGUCGGCUCGACUUCGUCGGUUCCUCGGGCCGAGGCACGUACGGUGAAUAGGGACGGUCGGGGCCGCCCGUACCGGGUCGUGAGAGGUGAAAUUCUAGGAUCGACCCGAGACGAACUGCC
rnacentral:rRNA from 1 species